GAUGAACGCUGGCGGCGUGCUUAACACAUGCAAGUCGAACGGAAAGGCCCUGCUCUUGCGGCGUGCUCGAGUGGCGAACGGGUGAGUAACACGCGAGUAACCUGCCCUUGUCUUUGGGAUAACUUCAGGAAACUGGGGCUAAUAUCGGAUAGGAGCUCCUGCUGCAUGGUGGGCGUUGGAAAGUUUCGGCGGUUGUGGAUGGACUCGCGGCUUAUCAGCUUGUUGGUGGGGUAGUGGCUUACCAAGGCUUUGACGGGUAGCCGGCCUGAGAGGGUGACCGGCCACAAUGGGACUGAGGGACGGACCAGACUCGUACGGGAGGCAGCAGUGGGGAAUAUUGCACAAUGGGCGGAAGCCUGAUGCAGCGACGCCGCGUGCGUGAUGACGGCCUUCGGGUUGUAAACCGCCUUCGCCUGUGACGAAGCGUGAGUGACGGUAAUGGGUAAAGAAGCACCGGCUAACUACGUG
rnacentral:rRNA from 1 species